ACAUGAACAACGCAAAUUUAACAUUCUUCAAAAAGCGUUCCUACGAGGGAUCUACCUUACUAGAUAGGUACCUAUGAAGUACGGAAAUCGUCAUACAGAAUGGAGACAGACUGCAAUUUCUGCAGAGUAUCGAUCUUGGGUGCAGUGCCUACCUGGUCGAAAGACUUGCUGGGAGGGACUGCAAUGAUUGGUUCUACAC
rfam:Aspergillus versicolor CBS 583.65 unplaced genomic scaffold ASPVEscaffold_6, whole genome shotgun sequence.